rnacentral:misc_RNA from 1 species
GAUGAAGAACGUAGCAAAAUGCGAUAAGUAAUGUGAAUUGCAGAAUUCAGUGAAUCAUCAAAUCUUUGAACGCACAUUGCGCCCGCCAGUAUUCUGGCGGGCAUGCCUGUUCGAGCGUCAUUUCAACCCUCAAGCACAGCUUGGUGUUGGGACUCGCGUUAAUUCGCGUUCCCCAAAUUGAUUGGCGGUCACGUCGAGCUUCCAUAGCGUAGUAGUAAAACCCUCGUUACUGGUAAUCGUCGCGGCCACGCCGUUAAACCCCAACUUCUGAAUGUUGACCUCGGAUCAGGUAGGAAUACCCGCUGAACUUAAGCAUAUCAAUAAGCGGAGGA